rnacentral:rRNA from 1 species
UACGAAGGGGGCUAGCGUUGUUCGGAAUCACUGGGCGUAAAGCGCACGUAGGCGGAUUGUUAAGUGAGGGGUGAAAUCCCAGGGCUCAACCCCGGAACUGCCUUUCAUACUGGCAAUCUCGAGUUCGAGAGAGGUAAGUGGAAUUCUGAGUGUAGAGGUGAAAUUCGUAGAUAUUCGGAGGAACACCAGUGGCGAAGGCGGCUUACUGGAUCGAUACUGACGCUGAGGUGCGAAGGCGUGGGGAGCAAACAGG